GCCGGCGUAGCUCAGUUGGUAGAGCAGCUGAUUCGUAAUCAGCAGGUCGUCCGUUCAAGCCGGAUCGCCGGCUCCA
rnacentral:tRNA from 1 species